rnacentral:rRNA from 1 species
UGGGCAACCUGCCCUCAGCACUGGGAUAAACCCCCGGGGAAAACCGGAGCUAAUACCAGAUACGACCUCGGCGGAUAUCCGCUGUGGUGGAAAGCGUUAGUGGCUGAGGAUGGGCCCGCGGCCUAUCAGCUUGUUGGUGGGGUAAUGGCCUACCAAGGCGACGACGGGUAGCCGGCCUGAGAGGGUGACCGGCCACACUGGGACUGAGACACGGCCCAGACUCCUACGGGAGGCA